rnacentral:lncRNA from 1 species
AAUCUCAGUGUUCUCACGCCGGCGGAGAGAUGUCCCGGCUGUCGCUGCUGGGUGGCCAAGGAGGUUCACAUCCUAGAGUAGGGCGCACGGGUGCGCGAAGGCGCUCGCCAAGGAGGCGUAGAGGGCGCAGCACAACUCCUCUGGGGGGUAACCGGGGGCGGGAGCACGCCCGCCCGCCUUAUGUAAGCAAGGAUUGCAGGGAGAUCAGCGCCCAGGAGACCAGCUGUGGGUUUGCCCGCUGAAGCCGAGGCGAGACAGACCAGGGGACGAAGCGGCUGCGGAGAGUGGC